CAAUGUUCGCUUCAUGAGCAUGAAUUGGUGCCAUUGAAACGAAAUCACUGCUGGCCUCGAAGCGACGUGUAUUUUUAAAGCGACUUUGUUUCGAGUAUUGUAGACUGAGGACGCCUGCGGUCGUAUGCGUACGAAGACAGGCGGGACGUCAUCAGGACCAUAGCAACAGGAGCAUUUCUGGCCGUGGUUGCGUAUAUCCGGCGUGUUUCCAGGUUGGGUGUUUAGGUUACAUUUAGUCACAAGAAAUCAUACCAGAAAACGCGUGCUGUACUCAAAGACUUCAGUCUCAGCCUAAGGCCCUUCCGGACCACUCUGUCUGAGAACCGUGCAAAAACCAACUCCUCAUGUUUUUAAUUGACCAUCAGGAUCAAUAAAAGAGUUAAGGACCUGAACUAUUAUGGAGCUGUAGAAAGGGCCACAUGCCAGGAAGCGCAGGGCUGAGAUCUCUGAGUAGGUACAGCCACCCAGGAACAUGACGAGGAUGGUGUUCUGGGAGUCACUCCUCGGCUU